UACGUAGGUGGCAAGCGUUGUCCGGAAUUAUUGGGCGUAAAGCGCGCGCAGGCGGCCCUUUAAGUCUGAUGUGAAAGCCCACGGCUCAACCGUGGAGGGUCAUUGGAAACUGGGGGACUUGAGUGCAGAAGAGGAAAGCGGAAUUCCACGUGUAGCGGUGAAAUGCGUAGAGAUGUGGAGGAACACCAGUGGCGAAGGCGGCUUUCUGGUCUGUAACUGACGCUGAGGCGCGAAAGCGUGGGGAGCAAACAGG
rnacentral:rRNA from 1 species